CCUACACAAGAGGACAACAGUUGGAAACGACUGCUAAUACUCUAUACUCCUGCUUAACACAAGUUGAGUAGGGAAAGUUUUUCGGUGUAGGAUGAGACUAUAUAGUAUCAGCUAGUUGGUGAGGUAAUGGCCCACCAAGGCUAUGACGCUUAACUGGUCUGAGAGGAUGAUCAGUCACACUGGAACUGAGACACGGUCCAGACUCCUACGGGAGGCAGCAGUAGGGAAUAUUGCGCAAUGGGGGAAACCCUGACGCAGCAACGCCGCGUGGAGGAUGACACUUUUCGGAGCGUAAACUCCUUUUCUUAGGGAAGAAUUCUGACGGUACCUAAGGAAUAAGCACCGGCUAACUCCGUGCCAGCAGCCGCGGUAAUACGGAGGGUGCAAGCGUUACUCGGAAUCACUGGGCGUAAAGGGCGCGUAGGCGGAUUAUCAAGUCUCUUGUGAAAUCUAAUGGCUUAACCAUUAAACUGCUUGGGAAACUGAUAGUCUAGAGUGAGGGAGAGGCAGAUGGAAUUGGUGGUGUAGGGGUAAAAUCCGUAGAUAUCACCAAGAAUACCCAUUGCGAAGGCGAUCUGCUGGAACUCAACUGACGCUAAGGCGCGAAAGCGUGGGGAGCAAACAGGAUUAGAUACCCUGGUAGUCCACGCCCUAAACGAUGUACACUAGUUGUUGGGGUGCUAGUCAUCUCAGUAAUGCAGCUAACGCAUUAAGUGUACCGCCUGGGGAGUACGGUCGCAAGAUUAAAACUCAAAGGAAUAGACGGGGACCCGCACAAGCGGUGGAGCAUGUGGUUUAAUUCGAAGAUACGCGAAGAACCUUACCUGGGCUUGAUAUCCUAAGAACCUUUUAGAGAUAAGAGGGUGCUAGCUUGCUAGAACUUAGAGACAGGUGCUGCACGGCUGUCGUCAGCUCGUGUCGUGAGAUGUUGGGUUAAGUCCCGCAACGAGCGCAACCCACGUAUUUAGUUGCUAACGGUUCGGCCGAGCACUCUAAAUAGACUGCCUUCGUAAGGAGGAGGAAGGUGUGGACGACGUCAAGUCAUCAUGGCCCUUAUGCCCAGGGCGACACACGUGCUACAAUGGCAUAUACAAUGAGACGCAAUACCGCGAGGUGGAGCAAAUCUAUAAAAUAUGUCCCAGUUCGGAUUGUUCUCUGCAACUCGAGAGCAUGAAGCCGGAAUCGCUAGUAAUCGUAGAUCAGCCAUGCUACGGUGAAUACGUUCCCGGGUCUUGUACUCACCGCCCGUCACACCAUGGGAGUUGAUUUCACUCGAAGCCGGAAUACUAAACUAGUUACCGUCCACAGUGGAAUCAGCGACUGGGGUGAAGUCGUAACAAGGUAACCGUAGGAGAACCUGCGGUUGGAUCACCUCCUUUCUA
rnacentral:rRNA from 1 species